rnacentral:rRNA from 1 species
UACGUAGGGUGCAAGCGUUAAUCGGAAUUACUGGGCGUAAAGCGUGCGCAGGCGGCUUUGCAAGACAGAUGUGAAAUCCCCGGGCUCAACCUGGGAACUGCAUUUGUGACUGCAUGGCUUGAGUGCGGCAGAGGGGGAUGGAAUUCCACGUGUAGCAGUGAAAUGCGUAGAUAUGUGGAGGAACACCGAUGGCGAAGGCAGCCCCCUGGGUUAACACUGACGCUCAUGCACGAAAGCGUGGGGAGCAAACAGG